UUUCCGUAGGUGAACCUGCGGAAGGAUCAUUAAUGAGUUGUCAUGGGGUUCGAUGCUGGCAGCCAGUUUUUGGAUGCAUGUGCUUGCCCUAACAAUCAUCUUCUUCCAAACACCUGUGCACAUUUUUGAGGAGUCUUGAGUUGGUUGCCGCUCUUGGGUGAUUUUCUCACAUUCCCUUAAAUCAUUAUACGCUAUUAACAAUGUUGAACGUGCUCUGUGCCGCAAGGCCAUUAAUAUAAUACAACUUUUAACAACGGAUCUCUUGGCUCUC
rnacentral:misc_RNA from 1 species